AGAGAUACUUUCUUGCAAGAAGACUGGGGUUGCAGAGUCUGAGUUGGACCUGAAUUUGCCCUUCCCAUUUCCUCCCCACAGCCUUUGUAAAGCAGGAAUGAUUUUUCCUCAGCCCUCCCUGCUGCUUGGGAAAGAGAAAACGGAAUUUUAUUCUUCAGUAACACUGAGACCAAGGCAUGAGACCUGAAUUGCUCAGAGAAUGUAAUCAUUGCAGCUUUGCCUAAGAGCAGAAAUAGGAACUGGCAUGAGUCCUCUGUGUGGGAACAUCUGGUAAAGAUGGCAACACUCUGGGCUCCAUCUCAGCCCCAGCCUGGCUCUUGGUCCGAGUGAAUGCCUGUGAAACAAGGCUCCACAUCUGUAUGAGCUUCAACCUGACUGGAGAGGGAGAGGAGCUUUGAAUCAAGUUGGAGACAGAAGAAGAGAAAGAUUCAGAGGGCAUUGUGUGGCUCUGAAAUUCUUUCUCCUUUGUGUUCACACUCAUUUUCAUCUGCACCUUGGCUGGGAUGAAGCUCCACGAGGACCGGCGUCUCCUGUCUUGAUCAUGCCCUCUAGAACAGUAUGUGACCAGAAGAGCUGGAUGCAAAGUCACUAAGAGAGGCCAGGCAUCCCAGCUGGUUCUGAUCGCUCCUGUGCCGAUUCAGUGGAGGCCUGGCGGUUUCUGCUGGAUGUCAUACCACUACUGCUGACUCGUGUUUGGUAUCCUGACACUACUGAACUGGACUGCGGCUAUCCUGACGAACAGAGAUUGAAAAUGCCCCCAAAGAACUACUUCUAAACAGGUAAACAGCACCAAGCUGCCUGGAGAGGAGAAGUUCUUAGCUGGCACCACACAGUCCCUCAGGACUGGCUCUACGAGUCACAGGACUGACCUGACUUCAGCUUGAUCAAGUCUCCUGUAAAGCAAGUGAUUCCCAGGAGCUUGGACAAGGUGACUGUGUCCACCCCAAUAAUGGGACCUCAUCAGAACAUCCAGAGAACACACUGUGUGUCAUAUACUACAACGGGCUCUGAGGAGGCCCGAGUACCCACCUACUCCAACAACGGUGGACCAGAGCAAAGACCUCAAGCCUCUAAAGCUUCAGCUUACACAGAAGCCAGGCAGAGGUGCCCUGGCCGACCUGGCCUGAUGUAUCUUGUUCCUCUUGAGGCCUCCGCUGCCUGACCCAUGGCUAAGAACCUGGAACUGAGGUUUUCUCAACAUAGCACCAGCCGGCCUCAAACUCUAAUGUUUUCUUCAUCCCGAGACCUGAAUGCAGCAUGCCCUGUGGUGGUACACAUCUGGAAUCUCAGUGUUUGGGAGAUAGAGUCAGGAAAACAUGUGAGCUUGGGACCAGCCUGGGUUACCUAGUGAGAACCAAUCGUGGUCAAAACAAAGAAAACAAACAGCAACCAUAAAGACAAAUGCAGAAGGGCACGUCCACAACCUGCUCAGGGUAACACAGUGGCCAAAGGAAGCAAGCCAACCGUCUGCCACGGAAGUUGGAGGAGAUUUAUUGCUGUUAACCAGGGUGGCUCUCACUGCAAGAGAAGCAUCAAGCUUGCCGUGGAUCUUGGAGUUUCAUUACGGAGUCAUCAGAAUGCUGCAAGAAGGGUCAUGACACCUGGUCCAGUGACACAGAGAGGCUGGUGCCAUGUUCUCAGCAUCCACACUUCUCAUCUCACUCACCUCUCCACAUCCAGAGCCUUGGCACCGAUCCACAGAACAGGAAACAACAGCUGAAGAGUUGCAGAUACAAGGUCCUUCCCAGGCUAAUCCCAGACACCCUGGCCUUGACAGCUCAACCCCAGACAGCCCUGCAAGCCUGUUAGCUUCCUGUAGAGAGGCAAGACAAGCAGGGAGGCAAGAUGAGGGCAUCCCAGGGCUCCCUCCUCCCCUCGGUGGAGCUGUUGCCCAAGGCCUGGGGAUGAUUUGUUUGCCCACAAAUCCAAAUAAGAUGACAAGCAAAUCAUCAGACUGGCUGAGAACGACUCGUUAAUUAGGAAAUAAAAUCAGGGCCCCGGACAAGCAGA